UUUGUAGAUUAUUACAAAUAUUAUAAACAAGCUAGGAUAUCUUGGGAACUUUACAAUCAACUAAGGUGCGGAUUCCUUCCUUUACUAUAUGUAUAGUUAGCAGGGAUGGCGGGAAAGUGUGAAGAGAGCUAAAAUAAACAAGUUGGAAACUUAAUGUGUAGUUUUAAUAAUGCAUGAAAUAAAUUAUCAGGAAUAAAUCUUUUGUAAACUCGUUUGGAUAUUAAUAAAAUAAGC
rnacentral:lncRNA from 1 species